UGAGGCUGGAGAGCUCAAAGGCCGGAAGAGUCCCCAGAACCCGAAGAGAGAGCUUCCCGCGUGCAGUGUGAUGGCUCCAGCGGCUCCGGGGUCGACUGUAUCCUGUGCCACAUCCUUGGAGCCCAGGGCAGAUGCAGUUAUUGGUGGGGCGGCCCAGGGCCUGGUUCUGUUCUGUGUCCCAUGUUCUGGCAUCCUGAGGAGCUAGCCCUUUCCUGCCGAGAUCCUGGAAGGAUGUGGUGGCCAGAAUCCUGUCCUGUAUGAAAAAGCACCUUAAAUUUGGAGGCGGCACAGGCUUUCUUGGAGAAUUAUACCAGGAUCAGGAUGAAUCCCUCAGAGUUCUACUUCCUGGACACCACGUUGACUUUGUUUGUUUAACAGCUUUAUUGAGCAGUAAUUCACAGCAUAAAAUGUACCCAUUUAAGGGAAGCAGAUAUGGCUUAAUGCAUAGAGCUUCUGCCUACCAUAUAGGAGGUCCAGGGUUUGACACCCAGGGUCUCCUGGUCCAUGUGGCAAGCUGGCCCACAUGAAGUGCUGCCGCAUGCAAAGAAUGUCCCCGCACAGAGGUGCCCCCUGCGCAUUGAGCCCGGUACAGGAGAGCAGACUGCCCAGGAGUGGUGCCGCCCACACAGAGAGCUGACGCAGCAAGAUGGUGCAACAAAAAAGAGAAACAGAGAAGAGACAAUAUGAGAUGCAGUGAACUGGGGAGCUGAGGUGGAGCAAGAGAAUGAUCACCUCUCUCCCACUCCAGAAGGUUCCAGGAUGGGUUCCCGGAGCCACCUAAGGAGAAUAUAACAGAUACAGAAGAACACACA
rnacentral:lncRNA from 1 species